ensembl:lncRNA
CCCUCCACGCCCAUCUCCCCUCCCCUCUUGAUUCGGUGAGAUAGGGAGGAGGGAGGUCUCGUAAUUUGGGUUACUGUGUAGGUGGCCUCUUUCAUCUAUUCAUAACAAAGCUAAGCCUCCUGCCGCCGCCACCACCAAAGCCCCUUAGCUCGCCCGGGGCUCCCGGGGCGCGUUAACAGCGCACCAAGCUGGCUCCGGCGCCUGUCCGCCCGCGGGGCUGCUCCAACGCUCGGGUUUUGUUUACGAGAGCGGCGCGGAGAGAUGCGCAAGGCUCGGGGAACUAGGACCCAGGCCGCCAAAGGGUUGCAGCUGAGGCCCGGGGCUCGGGCCACUGGGAGGCUGCGUGGGCUGCUGACAGGUGUGGAGCGGCGGGAGGGAGGCCCUGGGGAGGAGCGCGAGAGAGGGAAACACUGACAAGCCCGAGGCUCAAGGAACAGAGGCGCCCCUGUGACAGGAGAUGGGUUUCCCCGGGUCAGAGGAGUGAGGUGGAGGAAAGGCAGGCGCCGAGAUUCUGGUUCUGGACAAUCCCUGGGGCCGGAGCUCCCAUACUUGAGGAGGUUCUCUCAUUUCCCUUGGCAACGGAGACCCAGGCUUUCAAACCUAGCACUUAGAAAGUUCUACUCAUCAUCUAACCUGAAUGAUCAUGGCUAAUAUUUAUUGAGUGCAUACUGCGUGCCGGGUCCCGCUUGAAAUUCAUUACGUGGAUUAAAACUCAUUUAAUACCCAUAACAACCCUGUUAGUGACUUGUUGUAAUCAGCCCCAUUUCGUUAGGAGGGGUGGAGACGUUGCGGAACUCGCCGGGGGUCCUACUGCUGGCAGACAGCAGAGGAGGCAGCACGUGCUUUCCCACAAGCUGUCAGGUCGCUCUUUCUGCUGCGGUGACGGCAGUUGGGGUGCCAGUGAGGAGAGAAGAGGAGCAAGGGAGAGACCUAGAGCUACCAGAUCGAGGUGAAUCAGGAGAUCUUUAGGUGAGGCUAAUCAGACACGCUCUGCUCCAAAAUAAUCAGGCGUCACUCCCUGCACUGUCUUCCCACCUGAAAUGUUUUAAGAAUUUUUGCACUGCUGGCAGUGGAAAAAGUGGUGUCUUGGAAGCAUCUGCAGUAGCUCAUGGAACCCUUCACAGCAUAGGAGGGGAUGUGUGUGCCCAUAUUUUGACAGCAUUCCCCGUGAAUGGUGAAGAAACACAAUGAUCUUCAC